CAAUCUCCUCUUCCCUGAGAGAUCAAGAAAAGAAGUGGAAUAAUCCCCUCUAAUCUGAUUCCUGUAGGGAGCCCCAGCUGGGAAGCUGAAACAUGGCCCUAUGCUUCCCUCCGGACUAACAUUUGGACCUAAAAGUGACAGAUGGCCAUCUGAGGCCACUGAAGUGCCCAUAGUAGGAGAGGCCCAAGAGCAUCGGCCUUAAGGUCAAGUGGCAACAGGUGACAUCUUAGAUGUCCUCACGUCUUAUUAUCCCACUGAUGAAGAUGGAUCCCUCUUCGUCACUGACUCUUGAUCCUUGUGUACAACCUACACGUGACAGGAAGAGUCUCACAGAUAAGAAAAACUCCAGCUUCUUGGGCUCAGACUAUGAAAAUGCCUGCAGGGUCAUGAUUUAUGUGAAGAUGAAUAAGGUACAUUUACUGCUU
ensembl:antisense Gm29626 predicted gene 29626